rnacentral:ncRNA from 1 species
AAGACCCCGGGACCUUUACUAUAGUUUGAUAUUGGUGUUCGGUUCGGCUUGUGUAGGAUAGCUGGGAGACUGUGAAGUGGGCACGCCAGUGUCUGUGGAGUCGUCGUUGAAAUACCAGUCUGGUCGUGCUGGAUGUCUAACCUGGGUCCGUGAUCCGGAUCAGGGACAGUGUCUGAUGGGUAGUUUAACUGGGGCGGUUGCCUCCUAAAGAGUAACGGAGGCGCCCAAAGGUUCCCUCAGCCUGGUUGGCAAUCAGGUGUUGAGUGUAAGUGCACAAGGGAGCUUGACUGUGAGACCGACGGGUCGAGCAGGGACGAAAGUCGGGACUAGUGAUCCGGCGGUGGCUUGUGGAAGCGCCGUCGCUCAACGGAUAAAAGGUACCCCGGGGAUAACAGGCUGAUCUUCCCCAAGAGUCCAUAUCGACGGGAUGGUUUGGCACCUCGAUGUCGGCUCGUCGCAUCCUGGGGCUGGAGUCGGUCCCAAGGGUUGGGCUGUUCGCCCAUUAAAGCGGUACGCGAGCUGGGUUUAGAACGUCGUGAGACAGUUCGGUCCCUAUCCGCUGCGCGCGCAGGAACAUUGAGAAGGGCUGUCCCUAGUACGAGAGGACCGGGACGGACGAACCUCUGGUGUGCCAGUUGUCCUGCCAAGGGCAUGGCUGGUUGGCUACGUUCGGGAGGGAUAACCGCUGAAAGCAUCUAAGCGGGAAGCCUGCUUCGAGAUGAGUGUUCCCACCCACUAGAUGGGGUAAGGCUCCCAGUAGACGACUGGGUUGAUAGGCCAGAUCUGGAAGCCCGGUAACGGGUGGAGGUGACUGGUACUAAUAGGCCGAGGGCUUGUCCUC